AUGAACGCUGGCGGCGUGCCUAAUACAUGCAAGUCGAGCGCACGGACGAGAAGCUUGCUUCUCUGAUGUUAGCGGCGGACGGGUGAGUAACACGUGGAUAACCUACCUAUAAGACUGGGAUAACUUCGGGAAACCGGAGCUAAUACCGGAUAAUAUUUUGAACCGCAUGGUUCAAAAGUGAAAGACGGUCUUGCUGUCACUUAUAGAUGGAUCCGCGCUGCAUUAGCUAGUUGGUAAGGUAACGGCUUACCAAGGCAACGAUGCAUAGCCGACCUGAGAGGGUGAUCGGCCACCCUGGAACUGAAACACGGUCCAGACUCCUACGGGAGGCAGCAGUAGGGAAUCUUCCGAAAUGGGCGAAAGCCUGACGGAGCAACGCCGCGUGAGUGAUGAAGGUCUUCGGAUCGUAAAACUCUGUUAUUAGGGAAGACCAUAUGUGUAAGUAACUGUGCACAUCUUGACGGUACCUAAUCAGAAAGCCACGGCUAACUACGUG
rnacentral:rRNA from 1 species